rnacentral:lncRNA from 1 species
AAUUACAGGUGUGAGCCACCAUGCCCAGCCAGGAAAUAGUAUAUAUUUAGUAAAUAUUUUUUAAAAUAUUGAAACAAUAUGAAUGAUGUCAUCCCACUUAUGUAAAACAAAUACACAGGAAAUAUCCAAAAGGGUUUCUAAGCAACUGAUCCCAGUGACUUUUUCUGGAAAGUAAAACUUAAAAAUUAGCUACAGUAGGAACCUUUCACAUUUUAUUUUAUUACAGAAUACUUGAAUUUCUUUCUAUGACAAUGUAGUACUAAAAAUAAUCUCUUUGUUCAAAAAUGAAACACAGAGAAAAUCAUGCAAAAUAAAUGUGUGGUUUAAUGAGUUAUACUAAGUCAAAAAGCCUCAGAACCACUACCAGGUUAAGAAAUAAAACUUUACCAACCAUCUAAAACCACCAAGGCAUCAGUCCCAUCACAGCCCCUUCCCUUCCCACACAGGUAAUCACUCCUGACUUUUAUAGUAAUGACAUUCCAGCUUUUAAAAACAGCUCUAACAUCCAUGUUUACCAAAUAUAAUUAGGAUUGUAUUAUUUUUAAACUUUGACAUUUCUUUUAAGUCUCUUUUUAUCCAUAGAUUUUUCUCUCUACCUUUUAUGUUCCUUAUACAUUAUUUGCUGAAGGAUCCAAGAUAUAUUUGAACUGAACUUGUUGACUGCAUACACAUGGUGCAGCAUGUUCCUCUGUCCUCUGGGUUUCCUGCCAAUUGGAAAGCCUGAUGGAUAAUACCCAUGGACUUUAAUGAAGGCCUCAUCCCAUAUGUCAUCUCUGGCUCCUGCUCUCCACCCAUUGGUUGUAUGCCAUGCUGUCUUCAGACUUCCAGUCAGCCCUCCUGAGCACACCUCUUCUCUCGUGGACCUGUGAGUGAUCAAAUGUUUCUUUUAUUUUCUGUUUUGUUGUGUUGCCUGCUCUGUUUUGCACCUAAUCAAUA